GAGCAUCUCCAGCAGCUUUGUGCCGGCUCCCGAUGGGCAGCACAGGCUGAGGCGCUGCAGGGACGGCACCCUCAGCCCAACAGCGAGCAGAAGGUGUCUGAAGAGCUCGGAGGGGCAGAUUUCAGCUGCUGAGGGCCAGAGCUGGGACGGCCCCUUCGCUCCACAGGGACCAGAAAAGGGUUUUGGUAGCAAGUCCAGGAGAGGCCCACCCCCACCAGUGAAGAUGAAGAUGAAUUGGUUUGGGUUUGUCUAACACUGAACUGUAUCGUUGCUGUUACCAUAAGACUUCAAAUACAA